UAGGGAAUCUUCGGCAAUGGGGGGAACCCUGACCGAGCAACGCCGCGUGAGUGAAGAAGGUUUUAGGAUCGUAAAGCUCUGUUGUGAAGGAAGAACGAGUGUGAGAAUGGAAAGUUCAUACUGUGACGGUACUUAACCAGAAAGGGACGGCUAACUACGUGCCAGCAGCCGCGGUAAUACGUAGGCCCGAGCGUUGUCCGGAUUUAUUGGGCGUAAAGCGAGCGCAGGCGGGUAGAUAAGUCUGAAGUUAAAGGCAGUGGCUCAACCAUUGUAGGCUUUGGAAACUGUUUAACUUGAGUGCAGAAGGGGAGAGUGGAAUUCCAUGUGUAGCGGUGAAAUGCGUAGAUAUAUGGAGGAACACCGGUGGCGAAAGCGGCUCUCUGGUCUGUAACUGACGCUGAGGCUCGAAAGCGUGGGGAGCGAACAGG
rnacentral:rRNA from 1 species